UCUAAUAACUUAACUUUGAUUCAUUGUUAACCUGUAGGUUAAUCCGAAAGCUGCUGAGUCUUUAGCUGAUCCUGAAGAGUAUCCGAAUUUGUUCGAUGAUUGGCAAGUUGCUCUUUCUGUUGAAUCAAAAGCUGCAGAGACAAGGGGUGUCUAUCCUCCCGCAGAGGAGUACGUAAACCAUGUUGAUAAAGCACACAUCACCCUUGUGGAGGCUUUCAGGAAUAUGCAAUUGGAGGAAGAGGAGGAGCCUCUUGAAAAUGGGGAAGCAAGUCAUGAGGUUCCUGAACAGAAUGGUGAAGAAAAUGGGGUACAGGCUGCUGAAGAACAGGAUGGAGAAGAAGGGAGCCAGGAGGAGGCUGUUGUGGUGGAUGCUGAUUCUACGGAUGGUGCUGAACUCAUUAAUGGGAACGAGGCUGACGAAGAGUGGGGUACGAAUAAUGAAGGAACCUCGUCAGCCUAAAAAGCUAUUGGUUGGGCCAGUGUGAAAAUCCAAUUUUGUCUCUGUGCUUACACCACGUCACUAGGUCCCUAUGAAGACUGCUGGUCCAGCUGUAUGGAUCCUUUACGGAGGUCUCCUGCAAGGGGCUGACAAAGAGGUGAUGUAGCGGAUCGGUAGUCUCUGAUACCCGGUGGUGUGGCUUGUACCCGAGUUAUAGUUUGUCAUGGGGCACAACAUAAAUUAGUUUCAUAGCCGUAGUUAGUUUGCUCUUCCGAUUGCAGUUUUUAACAUAUUCUUUGAGGGCAUCUUCCGGUCAUAAAGUUUUUCUUGUGCCAUUGUGAAUGUAGAAAGAAUUGAGCUAGGGAUACAAGGUCGUCCAUUCAAAUUUUAGAUAUUUGGUUCCCCUUGACUCUUUAUUUUUUUGCGUGUUUUGGGAAUUCUUGAAAUGUGAGUUAUAUUGUAAACCUGUAUUCAUAAGAGUAUAUACAUUUUUAGCAUGAUACAA